rnacentral:rRNA from 1 species
AUUGAACGCUGGCGGCAUGCUUUACACAUGCAAGUCGAACGGCAGCGCGGGCUUCGGCCUGGCGGCGAGUGGCGAACGGGUGAGUAAUGCAUCGGAACGUGCCCGGUAGUGGGGGAUAGCGCGGCGAAAGCCGGAUUAAUACCGCAUACGACCUGAGGGUGAAAGCGGGGGACCGAAAGGCCUCGCGCUAUUAGAGCAGCCGAGGUCGGAUUAGCUAGUUGGUGGGGUAAAGGCUUACCAAGGCGACGAUCCGUAGCUGGUCUGAGAGGACGACCAGCCACACUGGGACUGAGACACGGCCCAGACUCCUACGGGAGGCAGCAGUGGGGAAUUUUGGACAAUGGGGGCAACCCUGAUCCAGCCAUGCCGCGUGUGGGAAGAAGGCCUUCGGGUUGUAAAGCGCUUUUGUUCGGGAAGAAAUCCUCUGGGCUAAUACCCCGGGGUGAUGACGGUACCGGAAGAAUAAGCACCGGCUAACUACGUG